rnacentral:lncRNA from 1 species
UGAUGUCUUUUAGGGUCAUUUCAUAACGAGUAAGGUUAUUAUUAAAUUUUAAUUAAAAUGUGAGUCAAAAAUCAAAAUCAAAAGAAAAUUAAUUUCUAGAAACUAAACAAGCAAGUGGCACAGAGGAUAAUGUUUUAGGUCACAUCACGAAACAAGAAACGUAAAAGCAAGAUUACUUGCUCUUCAAGUGUCACGAUCGCCAUCUUCAUCUUUGAAAUUUUAAUGGUCCUCAAAUAUAUUGAGUUAAUUGAAGAACUUGUAUUGAUUUUAUGGGUGAACUUAUUUGUCUAUUCAUUUGUUAUUAAAGUAUUUUUAUAAUCACAAUCGACAAUUCUCCUUAUUAUAUUUGUAAAAAGUUAUUAAACUGAAUAACUUUAUAAAAAGAGAUAACUUACCGGCUACCGUCAAAAUUAUUUUUUCUUAACCUCUCAAAUCUACUCACUCUUGUAGAAAAAAAUAAACUAUAACCACUAAAAGCAGAUGUAGUCACAAAUGUUAAUGAAAAAGCUUAAUUGUUUUUAGUAAUUGUAUUUAUCAAAUAAAUAUAGUUUGCAAUAUAAAUAGGGAAGUGCAAAUGAUCCUUUAUCAUAAUGGUAGGAAGGUGUUGAGCACUUACAUGACAACGUGAGUUCAAACCUCGUUGGUGACUAAUUUAACAUCUAAUCUAACAAAAUCUAUCGUCUGACAAAAAAAAAAACAAAAUAUAUAUAUAAAUUGGGAAGUGACUGGACAACAUCAAUUUCACUCUCUCCAAAGGGUAGUUGCUUGCCAUCACCUUUUUCUUGCUCUAUCUUGUUUCGACCCAUUUCUGAUAGGAUACAUUGAUCUUUUUUUGGGUCAAAAUGAAUACUUCAGAAUUUUCAGAAUCUCUAUUAUUUCAUAUAAUUUCUUUUUAUUUGGAAAUGUUCGGAUUGAAACGAAAUUUUCGUGCCGGAAUCAUAACAUUCUUUUAAUUGACAAAUUAUAAAAUAUUUACAAAGAUACUUGUAGGAUGAGAUGUAUCAUAAUUGCAUUCUUGUGAGUCGAACAUGAAAACUUCUCCAACCAAGGCUGGUUCGCUAUAAAUUCUUUUGUGCUUUUAUUAAGUUGAUAGAUAAGCGAGUGGAUUAUGUCUAGUUUUUGUAAUUAAGUUCUUUUACCUUUAAGCAAUUAUCCCAGCCAUUAAAGUCAAUACAAUGCCAAAGCCUCUUUUCUUUGAGAUGUCAUUGUACAUUUAUAUAUAUAUAUAUAUAUAUGGGUAAUGCUAGGUAAACCAAUUUUUUAAACCAAAUUUAUAUUUUUAGAUAUCUAAAUUACCCUUAAUAACGUUGACUUUGGGUCUGUUAUGUGACAUCCCACAUCGACCAACGGAGAGGGGGUGAGGUGCCUUAUAUGUAUAUGUCCACCUCCAUAUAGCACGAGG